rnacentral:rRNA from 1 species
UACCAGACUCCUACGGGAGGCAGCAGUGGGGAAUAUUGCACAAUGGGGGAAACCCUGAUGCAGCAACGCCGCGUGAGUGAAGAAGUAUUUCGGUAUGUAAAGCUCUCUCAGCAGGGAAGAAAAUGACGGUACCUGAGUAAGAAGCCCCGGCUAACUACGUGCCAGCAGCCGCGGUAAUACGUAGGGGGCAAGCGUUAUCCGGAUUUACUGGGUGUAAAGGGAGCGUAGACGGCAGUGCAAGUCCGGAGUGAAAGCCCGGGGCUCAACCCUGGGACUGCUCUGGAAACUGUAAGGCUGGAGUGCGGGAGGGGCAGGCGGAAUUCCUGGUGUAGCGGUGAAAUGCGUAGAUAUCAGGAGGAACACCGGCGGCGAAGGCGGCCUGCUGGACCGUAACUGACGUUGAGGCUCGAAAGCGUGGGGAGCAAACAGGAUUAGAUACCCGGGUAGA